rnacentral:rRNA from 1 species
GAUGAACGCUGGCGGCGUGCCUAAUACAUGCAAGUCGAGCGAACGGACGAGAAGCUUGCUUCUCUGAUGUUAGCGGCGGACGGGUGAGUAAUACGUGGAUAACCUACCUAUAAGACUGGGAUAACUUCGGGAAACCGGAGCUAAUACCGGAUAAUAUUUUGAACCGCAUGGUUCAAAAGUGAAAGACGGUCUUGCUGUCACUUAUAGAUGGAUCCGCGCUGCAUUAGCUAGUUGGUAAGGUAACGGCUUACCAAGGCAACGAUGCAUAGCCGACCUGAGAGGGUGAUCGGCCACACUGGAACUGAGACACGGUCCAGACUCCUACGGGAGGCAGCAGUAGGGAAUCUUCCGCAAUGGGCGAAAGCCUGACGGAGCAACGCCGCGUGAGUGAUGAAGGUCUUCGGAUCGUAAAACUCUGUUAUUAGGGAAGAACAUAUGUGUAAGUAACUGUGCACAUCUUGACGGUACCUAAUCAGAAAGCCACGGCUAACUACGUGCCAGCAGCCGCGGUAAUACGUAGGUGGCAAGCGUUAUCCGGAAUUAUUGGGCGUAAAGCGCGCGUAGGCGGUUUUUUAAGUCUGAUGUGAAAGCCCACGGCUCAACCGUGGUGGGUCAUUGGAAACUGGAAAACUUGAGUGCAGAAGAGGAAAGUGGAAUUCCAUGUGUAGCGGUGAAAUGCGCAGAGAUAUGGAGGAACACCAGUGGCGAAGGCGACUUUCUGGUCUGUAACUGACGCUGAUGUGCGAAAGCGUGGGGAUCAAACAGGAUUAGAUACCCUGGUAGUCCACGCCGUAAACGAUGAGUGCUAAGUGUUAGGGGGUUUCCGCCCCUUAGUGCUGCAGCUAACGCAUUAAGCACUCCGCCUGGGGAGUACGACCGCAAGGUUGAAACUCAAAGGAAUUGACGGGGACCCGCACAAGCGGUGGAGCAUGUGGUUUAAUUCGAAGCAACGCGAAGAACCUUACCAAAUCUUGACAUCCUUUGACAACUCUAGAGAUAGAGCCUUCCCCUUCGGGGGACAAAGUGACAGGUGGUGCAUGGUUGUCGUCAGCUCGUGUCGUGAGAUGUUGGGUUAGGUCCCGCAACGAGCGCAACCCUUAAGCUUAGUUGCCAUCAUUAAGUUGGGCACUCUAAGUUGACUGCCGGUGACAAACCGGAGGAAGGUGGGGAUGACGUCAAAUCAUCAUGCCCCUUAUGAUUUGGGCUACACACGUGCUACAAUGGACAAUACAAAGGGCAGCGAAACCGCGAGGUCAAGCAAAUCCCAUAAAGUUGUUCUCAGUUCGGAUUGUAGUCUGCAACUCGACUACAUGAGGCUGGAAUCGCUAGUAAUCGUAGAUCAGCAUGCUACGGUGAAUACGUUCCCGGGUCU